CUCCACAAGCAUCGGAUACUCUGAAAGCAUCUCAUCAGAUCCACCAGGAAAGCAGAUCUACCCUACCUGUUCUAAGAUGGCUCUGGGGAUGAAUGGCAUCCAGUUGGACAACUUGUAUCAUCCAGCAGAUGACAGCCUCUCCUCCCUUGAUUCCUUCUGUCAAUAUCCUGACUGCUAUCCACCGCAACGGCAAAAAAGCAUUCGGUGUCCGCCUGGCUGUGUCGUAACAUGGUGCCCCGUCUAUAUCAAAGGGUGUGGCUACGGCUAUAUCCCAUUGUGUCGCCCCUGUUAUCGCCAGAAUAACUACUACCCUGGUUGCCGGCCAUGUUAAGUCCAGACACAACUUUGACAGAACAUCCAGGAAAGAAGGCACACGAUUCUGACCCUCGACACAACAUUCGGAAGUGCUGAGCGCUCCACAGACCCCACUGCACAACCAAUGGGAUUUGUGAGGGCUCAGCAUGUCUGUUCAUUCAUAUGGUGCUUUGACUUUAUUGCUUUGGCUUCCCAAUCUUUGCUUGCAGGCAUCUUUUUUGGAACAGGCUCCUUUUCUGAAAUCACUCCCAUCCCCUUGUAAUCGAGCCAUUUGCGGUGUGCUUGGACCCUCUGGCUCCGUCCUUUAUAUUCUCAUUAAAGCGUUCAGCAUAUCAUAGAACACUUCCA